UUUCCAAGUAGAACAUGGAGAAUAGAGGUUUUAUCAAUUCUGAAAUUCGGUAUGUCCUGCUUUUGAAUCUUCACUGCUUUCAUGACAUCCUUGGUCACUCUACCUUGCUUGAACAAAUAUAACAUGUGUCGAGUUAACUUAAGGGCAAGAUGUAAGUGUACCGACUGACAGAUUAGAGAGAAGAGUCAAACUCACUUUUAUGGUUUGACAUCAAACCAUUUGUAUCUUGGUUCCUCAACACCAAUGAUUCCAAGACAUACACAUGGUGUAUGAUUACGAAAGUCACAGUAGUAACCAGACCAAACCAUGUCUCUUGUUAUUUUUAGUCAUACACAAUCGCGUGAAGGAAUUUUUCUGGACGUGAAAGAACAGUUGAUUGGGAGUAGUUGGAUUUCACAUAUGAAUCUUGAGAAGAAAUCACAUUAGUUGAUUCAUCAUUUUCAAUGGACGUCAACAAUUAUUUUCAUGAUAUCAGUCAUAUGAAGAGUGUUAAAUAUGAGAAGCAAUGUCCAUUGAUAAACUUAGGCAAGGAAAGUACCUAAAACUCUACUUAUUCUUGUUUGAAUAGGUUUGUCCCUUGAGAAUUAAUGCAUGUGUGUGUGCAUUGUUUGAAUAAGGUACUUGGAGCUCAUGAUAAAAGUCUGGUCGUGGAUCAAACCUUUUGAUGAUGGCAGGAUGUCAGAAGAAAGGAGGAGACAAAGAACCAGCCACAUUGAGACUUCCAAGCAGUUUUGAGUGUGAAACAAGGAAGGCAUUGGUGCCUGCUUGCCAUUGAAGUAAGACUAUGAUCCAGGGUUUAUGAGUCCCUAAACUUGAUUAUAAGACUCAUAAACCCACUGGCUAAUCCCUAGGCUGUGGGUGGUUACACUUUUUUUUCCUAAGUGAUGGUUUUAUCCCAUGAGGUUUUCCACACUUAGGUUUUUAAUGAGGCAAGUGCUCUCAGUUCCAAGCUUUUCCAAGGAUCUCCUAUGGCCAAGCUUGAGUUGGAGUGUUGACAUGAAGCAAUAAAAAGCAAGAGUAAAGACAUGAAGAACCUGAUUGAUCAUGGACAGGAUAUCAUGGACAGAGGAUCAUGGACAGGAAAUCAUGGACAUGAAAACUGAGGCAAAGAAUGAGUUGUGGAGACUAAUAUGGACAUUAGGAACCUCUAAGAAGUCAAGGUAACCAGUUUGAAUUCAAAAGAAAAGAUCUGGUUUGAAUUAGACAAGAAGUCACAUGUGUUGCUUUGGAGAAGCAGCUGGACUGGUCACUUUCACUCGAGCGGGCUGUGCCAACCUCUCUCGUGUCCCUUUUUUCUCAUCUGGUCAUGCCUUCCCUUGUCCAUAUUCUCCUUUGGCCUCAUCUCAUUCCCUAGAGAAUUAUUUAUUUAUGUUUAUCUUGCUUAGUAAUUGUUUAAUCAUGUGUAUUGCCUAUUUAAAGGCUUCUCCAUCACUUGUAACAUAACAUCAAGAAUCAAUAUACAAGUUUCUCUCAGUCUAAAUUUAUGGCUCUCUCUCUCUAUCUUGUGUCUAAACAAUAUUCACAAUGUAGAGAGUUAAGCAUUAUGGUUUAGAGGCUGCCUUAACUCUUUCUCUCUUAACGCAGCUUAAUACUUGUAAACUCAUUCUAGUAUAUCAAAACAAAUUUCAAACAUUGGCUUCAAGUAUUUUUUUUUCUUUCUCUUUGUUGUGAUAGCAGUUGGGACACCAAAACACACGAUGGCAGCCCCUGUCAAGAAUUGCUGAGCGCAGGCAUAACGUGCAUCAGCCAUGAGCGACCCAAUUCUCUCUGGUUGCCACAAUGACAGGGGAACCGGCUAGCAGGAAAGAUAUCGGAACACUUUUUGGUACAUAUCUGCCUCCUCUAUAUGGCAAACCGCUGCAGCAUCCCAUAAGAAAAGCUGCAGAACAUCUGUCCAUAUUCUCUACUUUGCGCAUGGGAAUAUAUUGAAAAAUGUCAUGAUGGAAACAAACUCACUUUCAAAGGCAAUUGAGAAGAAAGAAGAAACUCGACCAUUUUCUUUUCUUAUGUUAAAAAAAAAAGAAAAUGUUUUUAAAAAAUUGUAAAAUUACAGAAGUUUUAAAAAAAUGUUUUUUCUUUGGGGUUUGUGAUUUUUUUAUUUUGUUUUAUUAUUUGUGUGUUUUGAGGGGACGUGACAUCUCUCAUCUGCUGUCUCUGCAUCAUCUUCUCUUUUGUAUUACUCAAAUGAUUUUAUAAGAUUAAUGAAAGGAAUGUUAUUAUUCA